ensembl:lncRNA
UGAGCGAGUAGCUGAUGAGAUGACUGAGAUGGUAUCAGUGGAGAGCCAGAGGCUGGGGGCCUGGGUUGUGCUUAAAGAGGGCACUGGAGCACAACUAUUAUGCCCUGCUACUGGAUCAGUCCUCAGUAGGGAAGACGUCAUCGGUGAGGUGGGAAAAUGGGAAUCACCCCUGCUGUCUUUCAGUUCGUACCCUCCAUCCCGCCACGCUGAAAUCCAUGCUGCUUCCAAACUACGGGGGCUUCGUUCAGUCCAAUGGUUGGUGUUCCAUCUCGUGCUUGCGGCAGCCUAUUCAGAUUGGCUCUCCCAUGCUAGACCCUCGUACAGGUGACCUGGUGCUCAUCACCAGCGUCAGUCUUGAUCCCCAUACAGGAGCUGUACUACCAGUUGGGGGGCUUCUCUUGGGUGAGUCCUUCAAUAAGCCCUUGAGCGGCCGGAUGGCACGGGUUGGUGGAUGUAGUGUGCGAGGAGGAAAGGUGGUGCCUCAUGCUGGGGGUUUCCAGGCUCUGCUGGGCGCUUGCUUGCGGGUGGCGGAGCUCUUGCAAGGAUUCAGUGAGGAGUGGAGCUCAGCAGCUGCAGAUCCACAAGGUGACCUGGACAGAGUCUCGGCAGAAACAGUGGAGCUGGAGGAGGCCUAGAAAAGCAGCCAACUCUGUUUGUUGCAGAUGCUGAGUUGCCUGGAAGCCGUACAGGAACAGGCCAGGGGUGUGGCGGAGAAUGGCGGUAGUGUGGGUGGAUAGGAGCUGUUUAUUACAAAACAUCUGUACAUUUCAAGGGGAAAUCAAGCUUCCUGGCACUGAACUAUCCUUGCCAGCUCUCCCUGGGUUGGAGUAUCCUGACCCUGGAGGCUCGGGUUUGCAUGUCCCAGUUCUGGGAGCUCAGUUGGACUGGGUGUCAGGAUACAAGGUGCCUCUGGCAGCAACCAUGGAGGAUGCAGAUAGUAAAGGGCUAGUUCCCAUACGUUUUGGAGUGCAGACGGUGGACCCAGUGACAGGGGUGCUGGCUCCGGUUGUGGGGGCCAGUCUGGAUGUUUGGAAGUGGACUGUGGUUCCUGUAACUGUGUCCCAGAUUCUGACGUUAGGAGAGAACCCUGACAGUGUCACAGUGGAAGCCCUCCAGAAGGAGAGCAAUGUACGGGGCAAUUACUGGCGUGAGCAGACACUGAAGGAAGAGGAGAUGGUGGGAGAUUUUGGCAGAGCCAUUAAACACUAUCUCUCCACGUCCGUACACAAGUCUGACUGUGAGACGAGGAGGAGUGGGAGCAGCAGUGUUACUGGCACACCAAGCUUAAGGCCGUGCUGA